UGGGAAGUUUGGGGAGGGGCAGAGGAGGUUUAGGAGUGGCCGGUGUUGGGGAAGCGAGGUGCAGGAAGGGUUAAACGGAGGGGCGGGUGAGGAGUAAUUGGGUGAGAUGGCAGUGGUUGCAGUGUGGGGAGUGGGAUUUCCAGGUUCUGGGAACCCGGAGUAACGCAUCGACUCCAGGAGAUCAGCGGAAGUGGCCAGGGUCAAAGCUCACCGCCACAGCCUGCAACAGAAAUGGGAUGGUCAGGGCUAUCGGAGGACUCUGGCAAGUUUCUACGAUAUAUCGUGGAGAGCAUUCUAACUGGUUACAUCGUCUGGCCUGGAGGAGCCACUGCACAGGAUUGGAAAAAGCUGCAGAAAGUUGUAAACUCAGUCAGCUCUAUCAUGGGCACUAGCCUCCCCAGCAUGGAGAACACCUUAAACAGGCGAUGCCUGAAAAAGACAGCAUCCAUCACUCAGGACGUGCCCUCUUCUCAUUGCCACCAUCAAGGAGGACGUACAGGAGCCUGAAGACCCACCAUGUAAAUUCAAUUGUGAAGAAAGCACAACAGUGCCUCUACUUCCUUAUGUGUCCAUGGAGGUUUGCAAUACCAGCAGGCCCACGAGGAUCAGCAGCAGCAGCAGCAACAUGGAGAGAGUUACCUUCACUCCUGCAGACAGACAGGACAGCGGCAGAAGGGAAUACCCCGCUAUGGACUUCCAUGGCGCUGGACUCAGCCUCGCAGACGCAGCACACACCAAAAGCGACCUGACCGAGCCGACGCCGAGUCCGUCGUACCUCUGAGCCUCCGACCAUCCCUUCCGGCACAGCCUCUCUGAGCACCAUCCUCUACGAAGACUCCGCCAACGGCCGCCGGCAACGUGACCUCAAGGACUGGGGUCCUGUUCUUCUCCGCAGAGACCUGGACCUCACAACAGCAGCAGCAACGAAGAAGGCCUUCCUGGAGAUGUUCCUCCGUGCUCCCAUGUCCAUUUUUCAUCAGAUUAGGAUUGUGCACGGCAUCCCACUUAACAAAUAACAGAUAUCAACUCCGGAGAGGCCGCUGCAAGCUGCGUCGCGCCGCCAUCUUAGUUGCCUUCCUUAACCCUACCCACAACCACUCCACAUAUUCAGAUACUAUGUAACUGCUCUCUAAGGAUUUGACUUGAUUUUUUUACCAACAGAGCUACGCCAUUCCCUCUGUCAAUGUUCCAUCUCGUGACCACAGUGCUGUGCAGUCUUUUGCAGAGUGACAGCAUGUGCUUGCUGAAUAGUUCAUUCAAUAAAAACAGUGUAAAUAAGCCAGUUCUAAAACCUGCAGACAAAUCAUCGCAAAUUCCACAUUAUCAACAUUAACUGUAUCAGAAACUGGAAAAGGAAAUGUGAUUGUGUAUGAUCGUGAAAUAUACUUAACAUGCCAAUGAGGUAGAGGGUAACAACCUUCUGUGUACAGUUUAAAUUCCUUUGUGUGCUAGUAAAUUCCUUGGAUGUUAAGCUCCCAACUGUAACCUUCUUUCAGCCGACUCAGUGAUGCCCACAAUGUCAUAACUACCAAUCUGUAACCACACAAGAUCAUCUACUUUAUUCCAUAUACUGCAUGGAUCCAGAUAUAACACCUUCAGUCCUGUAUUCACCUUCUUUGAUUUUUGUGGUGAAAUCAUGUGUCACAUGUCAGAAUGUGAUUGGACAGAGUUGUGAGCAUGUACAGAAAUGAUAGAAUGAUCUAGAAGCAUGGCAGUGUUAAAACAUGGUUGCUGUUUGCUGGUAAAUAAAGUUCUAGUUAUAUUCUUCCAGAAUAUGGUUUGUUCUUGGUAACCCAUGGUACUUAUAAAGAACACAACAUGGUGUCAGAAGUCAGUCUGGAAGAAUAAUUUGUUUCGCUAACACGGAAUCAGUGAAGAUAAUUGGAAAGAAAAAGCGCAAACUUUUUCAUUGUUUGCUAACAGCUUUAAGAAUGGUUGCAACCUUCGAAAACACUUCAGCUGACUGGGACCAUAACUGAAAACUGAAAAAGAUGUAAACAGUGUUUUGAAAUGUAUUUAUCAGCGAUUGGAACAGAAAAUAAAACGGAUAAAACAAAAGCUGCAAUUCUACUCCACGUGAUUGGGGAUGACACAAUUGAGGCAUAUAAUUGUAUUACUUUUGUAAAUGGAGAUAAUUUGAAUCUAAAAGCGAUAAUUGACAAGUUUGAAGCAUUUUGUAUACUGAAGUUCAAUGUGACGUAUGAACGGUAUGAAUUCUUCACAUGCAAGCAGAAAGAUGGUCAAACGAUUGAUCAAUUUGUUAUGGAAUUGAGAAACUACAGUAAAACGUGUGAGUUUGCAGAGCUGACAGACUCUCAUUAAAGACAGAAUUGUUUGCGGCACUCUGGAUAAUGCUCUGAGAAAAAGACUCUUAAAAGAACUAGACGUAAAUUUGGAAAAAGCUUUGAUUCUCUGCAAAGCUUCAGAGACCGUAAAGUCGCACGCUAAUGAGCUUUUUAUCGAGAACCGCAGCUGGGGAUGAGAUGUACUCCAGGCUACUGUGGGAGGCAAGGGAGGAGAUUGCUGAGCCUCUGGCAAUGAUCUUUGCAUCAUCAAUGGGGAUGGGAGAGGUUCCUGAGGAUUGGAGGGUUGUGGAUGUUCCAUAAUUCAAGAAAGGGAGUAGAGAUAGCCCAGGAAAUUAUAGACCAAUGAGUCUUACUUCAGUGGUUGGAAAGAUGAUGGAGAAGAUCCUGAGAGGCAGGACUUGUGAAUAUUUGGAGAGGCAUAAUAUGAUUAGGAAUAGUCAGCAUGGCUUUGUCAAGGGCAGGUCGUGUCUUAAGAGCCUGAGUGAACUUUUUGAGGAUGUGACAAAACACAUUGAUGAAGGAAGAGCAGUAGAUGUAUAUGGAUUUCAGCAAUGUAUUUGAUAAGGUACCCAUGGAAGGCUUAUUGAGAAAGUACGGAGGCAUGGGACCCAAGGGGACAUUGUUUUGUGGAUCCAGAACUGGUUGUAGAUGGGUCAUAUGGAGGUCGGUCACCAGUGGAGUGCCUCAGGGAUCUGUUCUGGGACCCUUACUCUUCAUGAUUUUUAUAAAUGAGCUAGAUGAGGAAGUGGAGGGAUGGGUUAGUAAAUUUACUGAUGACACAAAGGUUGGAGGUGUUGUGGAUAGUGUGGAGGGUUGUCAGAGGUUACAGCGGGAUAUUGAUAGGAUGCAAAACUGGGCUGAGAAGUGGUAGAUGGAGUUCAAUCCAGAUAAGUGUGAGGUGGUUCAUUUUGGUAGGUGAAAUAUGAUGGCAGAAUAUAGUAUCAAUGGUAAGACUCUUGGCAGUGUGGAGGAUCAGAGGAAUCUUGGGGUCCGAGUCCAUAGGAUGCUCAAAGCAGCUACGCAGGUUGACUCUGUGGUUAAGAAGGAGUAUGGUAUAUUGGCCUUCAUCAGUCGCGGAAUUGAAUUUAGGAGUCGAGAGGUAAUGUUGCAGCUAGACACAACGGGAAGCAUUCACAUAUGAUUGGUUGUCCGAAAACUGUCUUACACACACCAACACACCCCUACACAACCUGCCCUACACACCCCUACGAACCCCAACACAUGCAUACACACACCACUAUACAAACAGCCCUACACACCUUGACACACCCUGACACGCUCCUAAACAAAUGGGAAGCUCUCACAUGCUCGGUGGACAGCCCAGUGAAUCUCCAAUGUCCUCUCCCUGCAUUGCUGUGCCCCGGUGACCAGUUGUGCUGGAGCUGAUCUCAGCUGCAGGCCUGCAGGACUCUGGUAAAGGGAAUGUCCUGAUUCUCCAUGCAACCCUCUCUUGACCUCCUCACUCCCAGGACAUGCCCUCUUCCCAUUGCUACUGUCAGGGGAGAGGUACAGGAGCUCGAUUACACACACUCAGUGAUUCAGGAACAGGUUCUUCCCCUCUGCCAACAGAUUUCUGAAUGGACAGUGAACCCAUGAACACUACCUCACCAUAUUUUUUUAAAAAAACACAAAAUGCU